CCUUCUCUAUGAGCACAAAACCCUUUUCACUUACUCCAGAAAUUUUGCUACCAACCUAGGCUAGGUGGUUUGGUAGAUCUAGAGAUUUUAGGCGAGUAUCUGAUCAACCGUGGUUGUUGGAUUGUAGAAUGGAGGAGGCGGAGGCAUCAAGCAGUAGUACGACUUCUGGCCGAUUGAGCCCAUCAGGUUUAGUGGUGCCGGUAGAGACGACGCCGUCGUCGUCGUCCCACUCAAGAACAUGGGGUAAGGUGCUUCAUUCACACACUGCUCCCCUUUUUCCUUAAUUACUAUUCGCGUGCUAACCUCCAGUGUUUUUGGGACUUUAAGAGCAGGCGAGGGAGCUUUCGUUAUGGGAAUCAGAUUUGAAGCGGCGAGAGGUGGUGGGUUUUUUCCCUCCAUUUCUACUAUCGAACUUUUAGGUGGUUGUGCUUGAUCGGUGGUGUGCUCAUGCCUUCUGUUUUGUGGCUGUAGGAUAUCAAGAGGAGGAAAGAGGCGCUGAAGAAUGGUGCAGAUCCACAUU
rnacentral:lncRNA from 1 species